UGGGGAAUAUUGCACAAUGGGGGAAACCCUGAUGCAGCGACGCCGCGUGAACGAAGAAGGUAUUCGUAUCGUAAAGUUCUGUCCUAUGGGAAGAUAAUGACAGUACCAUAGAAGAAAGCUCCGGCUAAAUACGUGCCAGCAGCCGCGGUAAUACGUAUGGAGCGAGCGUUGUCCGGAAUUAUUGGGCGCAAAGGGUACGCAGGCGGUUUAAUAAGUCGAAUGUUAAAGAUCGGGGCUCAACCCCGCAAAGCAUUGGAAACUGAUAAACUUGAGUAGUGGAGAGGAAAGUGAAAUUCCUAGUGUAGUGAUGAAAUACGUAGAUAUUAGGAGGCAUGCCAGUAGCGAAAGCGACUUUCUGGACGCAAACUGACGCUGAGGUACGAAAGCGUGGGGAGCAAACAGG
rnacentral:rRNA from 1 species